rnacentral:rRNA from 1 species
GAUGAACGCUGGCGGCGUGCUUAACACAUGCAAGUCGAACGGAAAGGCCCAAGCUUGCUUGGGUACUCGAGUGGCGAACGGGUGAGUAACACGUGGGUGAUCUGCCCUGCACUUCGGGAUAAGCCUGGGAAACUGGGUCUAAUACUGGAUAGGACCACUUCUUGGAUGGUGUGGUGGAAAGUUUUUUCGGUGUGGGAUGAGCUCGCGGCCUAUCAGCUUGUUGGUGGGGUAAUGGCCUACCAAGGCGUCGACGGGUAGCCGGCCUGAGAGGGUGUACGGCCACAUUGGGGCUGAGGUACGGCCCAGACUCCUACGGGGGGCAGCAGUGGGGAAUAUUGCACAAUGGGCGCCAGCCUGAUGCAGCGACGCCGCGUGGGGGAUGACGGCCUUCGGGUUGUAAACUCCUUUCGCUAGGGACGAAGCGUUUUUGUGACGGUACCUGGAGAAGAAGCACCGGCUAACUACGUG